CCUGAACGCUGGCGGCGUGGCUAAGACAUGCAAGUCGAACGGUUCCCCGCAAGGGGAACGAGUGGCGGACGGGUGAGUAAUGUAUCGCUAAUGUACCCUCGGAGCCUGGGAUAGCUACCCGAAAGGGUAGGUAAUACCAGAUGAUAUAACGCUCUCGCAUGAGAGUGUUCUCAAAGCAGCAAUGCACUCUGGGAGCAGGCGAUAUCGUAUCAGCUUGUUGGUGAGGUAACGGCUCACCAAGGCGACGACGCGUAGCUGGUCUGAGAGGACGGCCAGCCACAUUGGGACUGAGACACUGCCCAGACUCCUACGGGGGGCUGCAGUAACGAAUCUUCCGCAAUGCACGAAAAGUGUGACGGAGCGACGCCGCGUGUAGGAG
rnacentral:rRNA from 1 species